GGGACUGGGGUCCUGGACUCAGCCGGGCAGAAGAGCGGCGGGAGCCGGCAGGGGGCGCGGCCAGCCCCCUCACCGGACAGGACAGAACAGGAGGCUGGGCGAGGGCCCACGGGCCUGCGGAGGCGCGCGCCGCUGUUUGCCGCCCCCUACCCGCCUCAGAGUGCGCGCACCUGCCUGCCCCGCCCACCGCCUUCCGUGGGCGGAGCGAACUCGCUGCGCAAGUAGCGCCUCCUGGGGAGGCAGGGGUUCUGCGCUGGCUGCGCAGGGCGCGGGGGAUUGCAUCGCAGCCCUGCUGACUCAGAUUGUGGGCACCAUUGGAUCCUCACCUGUCAUGGCCGGUGCAACAAAUCAACCAGGAACGUGAGGAUGUGUGGAGGGCCAUGGCUGACUUGGAUGCAGGUGGGGUCAUCUCACAGCACAUGGAAUACACAAUUUAUCUUGCUUCCUGUCUUGAUAAUGACAUCUUGGUUUUCAUGCUGUCUUAGAACAAGUAGAACUUGACUUACAUGUAAGAUCUGAAGGAGUCAAUCUGUUUCUUCUGUGGCUUCAAGCACUUCAGACAAACUGUUCAGAAGAGCAGGUGCUGAUUUUUGCUUGCCUCGUGCCUGGUUUCCCAGCGAUCAUGUCAUCCAGAGGGACCUGCAUGGUGGAGACACUCAUCAGUCCUAGCCCUGGUGUGGCGGAUGACAUCCCCCAUUUGAGACCAGCGCCAGUGUAUGUACAUUACUACCACUCAAGACAAUGAAAACAUUUAUAGUAUAAAAAUUCCAUACAUGGCAAUUCACAUUGUUUUUAUUAAAUGGAUUAUAAAUUUCUUUUUGGGAAAAAAAGUAUCUAGCUAUAAUCCCAAACACUCAAAAUCGAGUUGCUGUACUGCCCCAAAUCAUACAGGUAUGUCAUUUCUCUUUUUCUUAUAUUUUACAUAGGUAAAAAUACACUAACACAUACCAAAGUAAUUGACUCAUAGGGGUUUUGGUUCCUAAAGGAUGCUGGUUCUAGGGAUUAUGUUUAUGGGUGGGCUCUCUCUCUGUUGCUGAGGUGUCAGAGGGACUUCUGAGGUAGCACUUGCCAUGCUCUGCUGACAUUGCCAUGACAAGGUGAUCUUGGGGGCCAGGGACAUGUUCUGAGAACAUGGUGUUGUGUGCAGUCUCCUGGACCCUCUCAUUUUCCUUCCUUUGCUCAAGAGCCAGUGACAUCAGAGCACAAGACCAGGGGCCUGUGUUGCCUUCACCCAUCCCCAGCACCAGGCAGGCCCUCAAGAAUCAUGUAGGUGGGCUGUGGGAAGGACCUAUUCGACUGCCAAGUGCCUUUUGGCAUCUCAGGGGGAGCAGUGGAAGAGCAUCUCAGGAUUUUGAGGUGCCAUGAUGGAAUGCCUGGAAGAAAAGGCAGACUCUCUUUCGAAGGCUUUCAGUGAAGACCUCUUUCUGUGUGGGGCCCAUGGUAUACCUUCCCUCUCUUGUGGCCCUUGGUCAUAGAGAAAUGGGCUUUCCCAUCAGGUUGAGUUGCUUAGAGACUUUGUGCUGUGUAGGGAAGGACAACUUGGGGAGGUUUGAGAGGGGCUGCCUCAUGGCAGGGGCCUGCUUUUAUGCACAAAGCAUGGUCCCCUUAGAGCAGGUUCGCUGAUGCCCCAGAGUUCCCAAAAGUGUGACUAGGCCUGAGCUGCAAGAGUUCACACACCUGAGUGGCAGGUAGCAUCUUGGUGGAGGAGCACCAAACUGAAGUCCAGAGCACGUGUCCUCAUUGAUGAAGAACUGACUACAGAGCUAGAGAAACUUACUGUCAAGAAGUCUGAGGGGGAUACAGUUACAGUAAAGAGCAGCAAAAUACUUACUGAAGAUUUUGAAAGGGAGCUUUGGGGUGCGUGGAUGGCUCAGUUGGUUAAAUGUCUGCCAGAGAUCAAACCCUGUGGUGGGGGGUGGGGAGUCCCUGCUAAGU